rnacentral:rRNA from 1 species
GAUGAACGCUGGCGGCGUGCUUAACACAUGCAAGUCGAACGGAAAGGCCCUGCUUUUGCGGGGUUCUCGAGUGGCGAACGGGUGAGUAACACGUGAGUAACCUGCCCUUGACUUUGGGAUAACUUCAGGAAACUGCGGCUAAUACCGGAUAGGAGCUCCUGCUGCAUGGUGGGGGUUGGAAAGUUUCGGCGGUUGUGUUUGGAGUUGCGGCUUAUCAGCUUGUUGGUGGGGUUGUGGAUUCCCAAGGAUUUGACGGGUAGCCGGCCUGAGAGGGUGACCGGCCACAUGGGCCUAGGGGAGGGGGCAGGACGGCAACGGGAGGCAAGAGUGGGGAAUAGUGGGAGAUGGGCGGAGGGAUGGUGGAGGAACGCCGGGUGGGGGAUGACGGCUUUCAGGGUGUAAACAAUGUGCGAGUGUGAAGGAGCGUGAGUAAGGGAAAUGGGCAAAGAAGCACCGGCAAACUACGU